CAUAUCAAUAAGCGGAGGAAAAGAAACCAACAGGGAUUGCCCUAGUAACGGCGAGUGAAGCGGCAACAGCUCAAAUUUGAAAUCUGGCCCUCGGGUCCGAAUUGUAAUUUGUAGAGGAUGCUUUUGGUGAGGUACCUUCCGAGUUCCCUGGAACGGGACGCCAUAGAGGGUGAGAGCCCCGUCUGGUUGGAUACCGAUCCUCUGUAAAGCUCCUUCGACGAGUCGAGUAGUUUGGGAAUGCUGCUCUAAAUGGGAGGUAUAUGUCUUCUAAAGCUAAAUAUUGGCCAGAGACCGAUAGCGCACAAGUAGAGUGAUCGAAAGAUGAAAAGCACUUUGAAAAGAGAGUUAAAAAGUACGUGAAAUUGUUGAAAGGGAAGCGCUCAUGACCAGACUUGGGCUUGGUUGAUCAUCCAGGGUUCUCCCUGGUGCACUCUUCCAGCCCAGGCCAGCAUCAGUUCGCUGUGGGGGAUAAAGGCUUUGGGAAUGUG
rnacentral:rRNA from 1 species